rnacentral:rRNA from 1 species
GACAGAGGGGGCAAGCGUUGCUCGGAAUUACUGGGCGUAAAGGGCGCGUAGGUGGCCCGGUCAGUCCGUGGUGAAAGCGCGGGGCUCAACCCCGCGUCGGCCAUGGAUACUGCUGGGCUGGAGCACUGUAGAGGCAGGCGGAAUUCCUGGUGUAGCGGUGAAAUGCGCAGAUAUCAGGAGGAACACCAAUGGCGAAGGCAGCUCGCUGGGACGGUAUUGACGCUGAGACGCGAAAGCGUGGGGAGCAAACAGG